rnacentral:rRNA from 1 species
UACGUAGGGUGCAAGCGUUAAUCGGAAUUACUGGGCGUAAAGCGUGCGCAGGCGGUGAUGUAAGACAGGUGUGAAAUCCCCGGGCUUAACCUGGGAACUGCAUUUGUGACUGCAUCGCUGGAGUGCGGCAGAGGGGGAUGGAAUUCCGCGUGUAGCAGUGAAAUGCGUAGAUAUCGGGAGGAACACCUGCGGUGUAGACGGCUUACUGGACCGUGACUGACGCUGAGGCACGAAAGCGUGGGUAGCAAACAGG